rnacentral:lncRNA from 1 species
UCAGUGAAGAAAAGAAGAGAAAGAAAAAGUAUGAAAGUCAGGCAGCAAAGCAGCAUACCUAAAGCAUUACUGAAGAUGACACAGCAACAGAGGGAACAAAGUUACAGAGUUACUGCUACAGUGCAUUAUGUUAGAGGUCCCUGGUGGCAAAGGUCUUGCGAAGGUACCAUGUGGAAAACUGAGUGGGAGUCUCAUCUGCAAUAUAUCUGGUGGCUUCAGCCAUAUAAUGUUUCCCAAACGUGAUCAUAUUUGUCAGCAUCAAAGAAGUGUGCUGAGACUACUGAGGAAAGCAGCCCUUCCAAAAAAUCACUCAACAGCCAUAUCCGGGAAAAUGUUGACUGAACAACUCCUCACUGCUGUGGUUUACUUCACUGAAGUACAACAAUAUUUUUUUAAAGGUGUCUGUUCCUGAAAAGGUAGGCUUUUCACAGUGACGAUGCUGGUGUUGAGUCAGCACCUGAAAUAUGUUUAGCUUUGUGUGCUAGGGCUAUUUAGCAGCACUCAUAAGUUUAAUAUGGACAUUUAUUGAGCAAUUUAUUUUCUGUCCUCUGUGCACAGGAUAGAGCCACCAGCAGGCACCAGUUGUAUCAACCACUUCAACUGGCAAAGCAGCUGCAUGUUCUUUAUGAAAGGUCAGUUGACUGGAUGCUAUCUUUUCUGCGUUAUCAAAGCAGUACAGAAAUACCAGAGUACCAAUGAAUUAUGCUCGAUUUCCAGUCUCUCAAAUCUCAGCAUAAGAAAUUAGAAAAAGGCUGGGGGUUAAAUCCCAACCUGUAACUGUGUAGCCCUCCAAUAUUGUACUGCCAUUGCUAGUAACAGGCCAUAAGUUUACAGAGUUUGCAAAGCCUGAGGAAUAAGGCUUAUCAGAUGGGCUCUCUCUAAACUUGACUUGGCCUACCUGCGAUUUUAUUUUCCUUGGUUACGCUGUAAUAGCAAUUUCUCUAAUUGAUCAGAUGUCUCUAGCUAAUUUGUUUUAUUUUUGUUAUCUUUGUAUGGUACAAUCAUAGCCUAUAUAGAUAACAAUGAGCAUUUUUCUUUUUUUAAUGUAGAAGGAGAUAUUCAUGACUUUAUCAUAAUGAAGUAUUGUAGAGAAAUAUAAGCCUGAUAUGAUACCAGAGGCCUUGAGAAGUGGGGACAUAGGAUGUGGCAUAAAGGAGUGCAAGUGUGGGAUGACUAGAGAUGGGGCACAGGCUGGCACUGGAGACCCCACAGCUAUAAAAACUCAACCACCAUCAGUUACAGAAAUGCAUACCUGGAGCUAAGCAAAAUUGUUUUUAUGAGUAACAGAGAAAAUAGUAACAGUAUCUAACAUAAGUAAAAGGCAUCAUGUAUAGUAAAUUUAGAUGUAACAUGGAGGUAUGGAACAAUGAAGAAAGAGAAAGGUAUAAAAAGUAUGUUACCAAACAUAAAAGUAACCCCAAGUGGAGUCAGGAAGAAGAAACCAUCAACAUAAACAUUAUAUUCCUCCUCACGAAGGACUGCUGAUGCUGAUGCCUUGCCACAACACCCUCACUACCACCACCAGAAUGAAACUGGUAAACUUAGGACCCCGCAGAACAGAGGAAGGGCUGAGCAUAAAAGAGAGAAGAUAUUAAAUGAAGGAGAAGGUGUAGAAAAUAAAAAGUGUGCAUAUACCA